rnacentral:lncRNA from 1 species
CUUUUUAAAAAAAUAAAGUUAAAAUCAUUUAGGACACUUUACAAAUUUACUAUUUAUUUUUGUCUUUUCACAGCUUCUGAACUGUCUGAUUUUCUGAAAACCACAUCAGUCACUUGCAUAAACAUAGGAAGGAAGACUUUCAUUAUGAUUAGACAGUCAUGCUUUCCCCAGGAGGUAAUCUCAGAAGAAAUCUAUUCUUGUGGAAUUAUAAGUUCAAAGAGACCUGGAGACCAAGUCACAAAGAAGAUUAGUAACUAGCCAAAGUUCACAAAUCUACUAAGUGGCAGCAUCCACAUUUGAUGGCAGUCUGACAGUUCAGCUCUGGAAAGUAUGCUUUUACCCACAGAACAAAUUUUUCUCCUUAAAUCCCAUAUAACGAAGAGUUCUUAUGAUGGCGGAAAUGUAUG